rnacentral:rRNA from 1 species
GACGAACGCUGGCGGCGUGCUUAACACAUGCAAGUCGAACGGAAAGGCCCUGCUUUUGUGGGGUGCUCGAGUGGCGAACGGGUGAGUAACACGUGAGUAACCUGCCCUUGACUUUGGGAUAACUUCAGGAAACUGGGGCUAAUACCGGAUAGGAGCUCCUGCUGCAUGGUGGGGGUUGGAAAGUUUCGGCGGUUGGGGAUGGACUCGCGGCUUAUCAGCUUGUUGGUGGGGUAGUGGCUUACCAAGGCUUUGACGGGUAGCCGGCCUGAGAGGGUGACCGGCCUCAUUGGGACUGGGAUACGGCCCAGACUCCUACGGGAGGCAGCAGUGGGGAAUAUUGCACAAUGGGCGGAAGCCUGAUGCAGCAACGCCGCGUGCGGGAUGACGGCCUUCGGGUUGUAAACCGCUUUCGCCUGUGACGAAGCGUGAGUGACGGUAAUGGGUGAAGAAGCACCGGCUAACUACGUG